UAUCCUGUCUUCAAGCUCACUAAGUCAUUCUUCUGCUUGACCAAUUCUGCUAUUAAAAGACUGUGAUGCAUUCUUCAAUGCAUCAAUUGUGUUUUUCCACUCGAGAAUUUCUGCUCGAUUCUUCUUAAUUUUGUCAAUCUCUUUGUUACAUUUACCUGACAGCAUUCUGAAUUCCUUCUCUGUGUUACCUUGAAUUUUUUUGAGUUUUCUCAAUAAAGCUAUUUUCAAUUCUCUGUCCAAAAGGUCAUGUAUCUCUGUUUCACAAAGAUUGGUCCCUGGUGUCUUAUUUACUUAAUUUGGUGGAGUUAUGUUUUCCUGGAUAGUCUUAAUAUUUAUAGAUGUUCAUUUGUGUCUGGGCAUUGAAGUUAGGUAUUUAUUGUUUUCUUUGCAGUCUGAGCUUGUUUGCGAUUGUCCUUCUCGGGAAAGCUUUUCAGAUAUUCAAAAGGAAUUAGAUGUUUUAACUUAAGCUGUAUCUGCUUUAGGAGCUACCCCAGGACCAGUAACACUGUUGUUUUUGAAGAUUCAUAGAGGAACCGCCUUGAUUUUCUUGAUCAAGAUCUGGAAGAAUUAUCUCAAUUGCCAGCUUUGCAGGCCCAGGAGAUUGUGGACCAAGGUCAAGGCCUAGUGAAAAAGAGCGCAGUGAGGAGCUUGACUCCGUUGUGGUUAAGAGGAAAAAUUAUUAGCAUUUUAACAAUAUUUGGACUGUUUCUAGAUUGGAGGUAUUUUGAAUGAAGCUGCUGUGAAUAUUCAUGAACAAUGUACAAGUUUUUGUAUGGACAUAUGCUUUCUUUUCCUUUGCUUGAAUGCCUAAGUGUGAAAUGGCUGGAUCACAUGGUACAUACAUGCCUAAUUUUUAAAGAAGCAAUCAAACCACUUUUGAAAUAGUAGUAAUAUUUCACAUAACCAACCAUAGUGUAUAAAACUGCAGAAGUUCCACAACAUUAGCAACACUUGGUGUCAUCAGUCUUGAACUUUGAACAUUCUAGUAAGUGUGUAGUGGUACAUUUGUAAAUUUUGCGUCUAAUAAAUUAUAUACUGUAAUUUAAUUUCUAUUUCCCUAAUGACUAAUGAGAUUAAGCAUCUUUUCAUGUGCUUAUUUGUCAUUUUUAUUUAUAUCUGAUUUAGUGAUGUCUCUGUUAACAUUUUGCCAAUCAUUUUAUCAGGUUAUUAUCAUACCUUUAAAGUAUUUUAUGGAAUCUGAAUACAAAAAUCUUUAUUAAACAUGUGACUUAAAAGUUGCUUCCUUAACUUUGUGGCUUGACUUUUCAUUCUCUUAAUGCUUUUCAAAAGGCAGGAGUUUUUAUUCUUAAAGAGUUUAAUAUAUAUGUACACAUAUAUAAGUACAUGUCUUUACACACACACAUAUAAGUAUGUAAUUUUUAAUUUUAUGGAUCAUGAUUUUUGGUGUCAUAAGUAGAAAUACUUAACUCAAAAAUUUCUUUUCUACAUUUUCUUCAAGUUUCAAAUUUUACAUUUAGGUACAGGAUCUCUUUUAAAAUAAUUUUUCUAUACAGUGUUAAACAUAGAUUGAAAUUGCUAGUUCAAUAUUUUAUUUUCAAACGUGUAUCUAAUUAUUCUAGCACAAUUUGUUGAUAAGAUUAUACUUUCUCCAAUUAAACGAGUUGACCAUAUAUGUGUGGCAAUAUUAUGGGAUGCUCCAUUCUGUUCCAUUGAUUGGUUAGUAUAACUUAAGGCCACUAUCAUUUUAUCUUGAUAACUGUGGCUUUAUAAUAAACCAUGGAAUGAAGUCAUUUUAGUUCUCCAACUUCAUUCUUCUUUUUCAAAGCUAUUUUAGCUAUUCUGGCUCUUUUACAUUUCCAUUUGAAUUUCAGAAUCAGUUUGUCAAUUCCUACAAAAUGUCUGCUGAGAUAUUGAUCAGAAUUGAACUACAUCAAUAGAUCUAUUGGGGGGACUUGACAUCUUAGCAAUAAUUAGACUUCUAACUCAUGAAUGUGGUAAAAGUCUCCAUUUAUUCGUUUUUUUACCUCAAUAUUUUGUAAUAUUCACAUAUGUUGUAAUAUUUAUACUUAAAUAUUUUGUUGUUGAUGUUAUUAAAAACCAUAUUAUUCUUUACAUUCUAUUCCUUUUUUAUUGCUAGUAUAUAAAAAUACAACUUGU
rnacentral:lncRNA from 10 species